GCCCAGACUCCUACGGGAGGCAGCAGUGAGGAAUAUUGGUCAAUGGGCGCUAGCCUGAACCAGCCAAGUAGCGUGAAGGAUGACUGCCCUAUGGGUUGUAAACUUCUUUUAUAUGGGAAUAAAGUGCAGUAUGUAUACUGCUUUGCAUGUACCUUAUGAAUAAGGAUCGGCUAACUCCGUGCCAGCAGCCGCGGUAAUACGGAGGAUCCGAGCGUUAUCCGGAUUUAUUGGGUUUAAAGGGUGCGUAGGCGGGCUUUUAAGUCAGCGGUAAAAAUUCGGGGCUCAACCCCGUCCGGCCGUUGAAACUGGGGGCCUUGAGUGGGCGAGAAGAAGGCGGAAUGCGUGGUGUAGCGGUGAAAUGCAUAGAUAUCACGCAGAACCCCGAUUGCGAAGGCAGCCUUCCGGCGCCCUACUGACGCUGAGGCACGAAAGUGCGGGGAUCGAACAGGAUUAGAUACCCGGGUA
rnacentral:rRNA from 1 species